ACGGGUUAGUAACACGUAGAUACCAACCGUCAACACAGGUAUAACCCAUCGAAAGGUGGGCUAAUCCCUGAUAGUCCCCGUGAGAUACAAAAAUUAUCUCAUGGGGUAAAUGGUCUCCGCAAGGAUUCCGGUUGACGAUGGGUCUGCGGCCUAUCAGCUAGCAGGUAGGGUAAUGGCCUACCUGGGCAAUGACGGGUAGGUGGCCUGAGAAGGUGGUCACCAACAUAGGCACUGCGACACGGGCCUAACUCCUACGGGAGGCAGCAGUCGAGAAUAUUGGUCAAUGGGGGAAACCCUGAACCGGCGACGCCGCGUGCUCGAAGAAGCCCUUCGGGGUGUAAAGAGCUUUUGUGGAGGAUGAACCUUCGGGUGACAGUACUUCACGAAUAAGGGGGUGCUAAUCACGUGCCAGCAGCAGCGGUAAAACGUGUCCCCCAAGCGUUAUCCGGAUUUAUUGGGCGUAAAGGGUCCGUAGGCGGUCUAGGAAGUCUUUGGUUAAAUACCCAGGGCUCAACCUUGGGGGUGCUAAAGAUACUCCUAGACUAGAGGACGUUAGGGGCUGAUGGAACGCUCGGUGUAGGGGUGAAAUCCGUUGAUAUCGAGUGGAACACCAAAAGCGAAGGCAUUCAGCUGGGACGGUCCUGACGCUGAGGGACGAAAGCGUGGGUAGCAAAAAGGAUUAGAUACCCUUGUAGUCCACGCCCUAAACGAUGGACACUGGCUAUCUGAAGUGUCGACCCUUCAGGUGGCGAAGCUAACGCGUUAAGUGUCCCGCCUGGGAAGUACGGCCGCAAGGCUAAAACUCAAAGGAAUAGACGGGGCUUCACACAAGCGGUGGACCAUGUGGCUUAAUUCGACGAUAAACGAAGAACCUUACCAGGGCUUGA
rnacentral:rRNA from 1 species